GUUGUUGCAGUUAAAAAGCUCGUAGUUGGAUUUCUGUGAGAGUAUGAUGUCCUAACGUGUUUAGAGCGCAGAAAACUCUUGCAUCCUUCUGUUACCUCCACGUGGCAUUCACUUGCCAGUGGUUGGCUCAGAGAAUUUACCUUGAGAAAAUUAGAGUGUUUCAGGCAGGCUAGGCCGGAAUACAUUAGCAUGGAAUAAUAGAAUAGGACUCCGGUCUCGUUGUUGGUUUGAGGGACUAUAGUAAUGAUUAAUAGGGAUAGUUGGGGGCAUUAGUAUUCGAUUGUCAGAGGUGAAAUUCCCAGAUUUAUUGAAGACUAACUUAUGCGAAAGCAUUUGCCAAGGAUGUUUUCAUUAAUCAAGAACGAAAGUUAGGGGAUCAAAGACGAUCAGAUACCGUCCUAGUCUUAACCAUAAACUAUGCCGACUCGGGAUCGGGGGCGUGUCAUUAUCCGCCUUCGGCACCGUAUGAAAAAUCAAAGUCUUUGGGUUCUGGGGGGAGUAUGGUCGCAAGGCUGAAACUUAAAG
rnacentral:rRNA from 1 species